rnacentral:lncRNA from 1 species
ACUUAACCACUGUGCCACCAGGCCGGCCCCUUGAAGCUGCCAUCUUGGCGUAGCCUGGGGAAAGUAACAAUGUGAUAAAACUCCAGUGUGGACAUGUGCAAAUAUGUAUGUGCAUUCAUGCACCUUCAGAUCAAUGGCUAUUUUAAAGAAAAGGAAACACAAAGUUGUCAACUGUUCAAUAUAUGAUUAUAAGAAAGAAAACCAAAUCAAUCAGCAAGAGCAAAAGAUCACUGCAACAAAUAAGCACCCAACAGACUCUGAUAAAGGCAAAUCCACAAUCAUCACUGCUAUCCCACAUGAUAAAAGCCAAAUGCUUGUUGACAAUCAGAUUGACGAUGAUGUGAGCCCAUAAUAUUGCCACUGAUGGAUAAAAGGAUCCCUUAGAAAACAGAAGUGGUAAUAAAGUUGCUCGUACAACCUUCGUCUGGCAGUAAUUUUCAAUACGAAAUCCUACUGCAGACUAGCGGAGAGGAAGGCUAUAAAAAGGACAUCAAAACACUCUUCAAUGUUGAAAGCAGAAUGGCUGGAAUCCUGCACAUAUACUGACAUAAACCCUUCUUGUGGGUGAGUGAAGAUUUGGCUCACGCUCCCUGAAGAUGCCCUCAGCCUUCCC